rnacentral:rRNA from 1 species
GAAAGGCCAAUCAAACCGGGAGAUAGCUGGUUCUCCCCGAAAGCUAUUUAGGUAGCGCCUCGUGAAUUCAUCUCCGGGGGUAGAGCACUGUUUCGGCUAGGGGGCCAUCCCGGCUUACCAACCCGAUGCAAACUGCGAAUACCGGAGAAUGUUAUCACGGGAGACACACGGCGGGUGCUAACGUCCGUCGUGAAGAGGGAAACAACCCAGACCGCCAGCUAAGGUCCCAAAGUCAUGGUUAAGUGGGAAACGAUGUGGGAAGGCCCAGACAGCCAGGAUGUUGGCUUAGAAGCAGCCAUCAUUUAAAGAAAGCGUAAUAGCUCACUGGUCGAGUCGGCCUGCGCGGAAGAUGUAACGGGGCUAAACCAUGCACCGAAGCUGCGGCAGCGACGCUGAUGCGUUGUUGGGUAGGGGAGCGUUCUGUAAGCCUGCGAAGGUGGCCUGUGAGGGUUGCUGGAGGUAUCAGAAGUGCGAAUGCUGACAUAAGUAACGAUAAAGCGGGUGAAAAGCCCGCUCGCCGGAAGACCAAGGGUUCCUGUCCAACGUUAAUCGGGGCAGGGUGAGUCGACCCCUAAGGCGAGGCCGAAAGGCGUAGUCGAUGGGAAACGGGUUAAUAUUCCCGUACUUGGUGUUACUGCGAAGGGGGGACGGAGAAGGCUAUGUUGGCCGGGCGACGGUUGUCCCGGUUUAAGCGUGUAGGUGUGUGUUCCAGGUAAAUCCGGUUCACUUUAACACUGAGGCGUGAUGACGAGGCACUACGGUGCUGAAGCAACAAAUGCCCUGCUUCCAGGAAAAGCCUCUAAGCAUCAGGUAACAUCAAAUCGUACCCCAAACCGACACAGGUGGUCAGGUAGAGAAUACCAAGGCGCUUGAGAGAACUCGGGUGAAGGAACUAGGCAAAAUGGUGCCGUAACUUCGGGAGAAGGCACGCUGACAC